rnacentral:rRNA from 1 species
GAUGAACGCUGGCGGCGUGCCUAAUACAUGCAAGUCGGGCGAAUGGAUUAAGAGCUUGCUCUUAUGAAGUUAGCGGCGGACGGGUGAGUAACACGUGGGUAACCUGCCCAUAAGACUGGGAUAACUCCGGGAAACUGGGGCUAAUACCGGAUAACAUUUUGAACCGCAUGGUUCGAAAUUGAAAGGCGGCUUCGGCUGUCACUUAUGGAUGGACCAGCGUGGCAUUGGCUAGUUGGUGAGGUAACGGCUCACCAAGGCAACGAGGCGAAGCCGACCUGAGAGGGUGAUCGGCCACACUGGGACUGAGACACGGCCAAGACUCCUACGGGAGGCAGCAGUAGGGAAUCUUCCGCAAUGGACGAAAGUCUGACGGAGCAACGCCGCGUGAGUGAUGAAGGCUUUCGGGUCGUAAAACUCUGUUGUUAGGGAAGAACAAGUGCUAGUUGAAUAAGCUGGCGCCUUGACGGUACCUAACCAGAAAGCCACGGCUAACUACGUGCCAGCAGCCGCCGCAG